rnacentral:rRNA from 1 species
AACGAACGCUGGCGGCGUGCCUAACACAUGCAAGUCGAACGAGACGUUCGGGUCUAGUGGCGCACGGGUGCGUAACGCGUGGGAACCUGCCCGUAAGUUCGCAAUAACUCCCCGUAAGGGGUGCUAAUACCGGAUAAUGUCAUCGCACCUAAGAUUUAUCGCUAUUGGAUGGGGGCGCGUUGGUUUAGCUGGUUGGUAGUGUAAUAGCCGACCAAGGGGACGAUGCUUAGCUGGUCUGAGAGGAUGAUCAGCAACACUGGGGCUGAGACACGGCCCAGACUCCUAGGCAAGGCAGCAGAGUGGAAUAUUGGACAAUGGGCGAAAGCCUGAUACAGCCACGCCGCGUGAGUGAUGAUGGCCUUAGUGUUGUACAGCUGUUUUACACGGGAUGAUAAUGACAGUACCGGGUGAAUAAGCACCGGCUAACUCCGUG